UUGAACGCUGGCGGUAUGCUUUACACAUGCAAGUCGAACGGCAGCACGGGGGCAACCCUGGUGGCGAGUGGCGAACGGGUGAGUAACAUAUCGGAACAUAUCCGGAAGUGGGGGAUAGCUCGGCGAAAGCCGGAUUAAUACCGCAUAUGCCCUGAGGGGGAAAGUGGGGGAUCGCAAGACCUCACGCUUUCGGAGUGGCCGAUAUCAGAUUAGCUAGUUGGUGGGGUAAAGGCUCACCAAGGCGACGAUCUGUAGCUGGUCUGAGAGGACGACCAGCCACACUGGAACUGAGACACGGUCCAGACUCCUACGGGAGGCAGCAGUGGGGAAUUUUGGACAAUGGGGGCAACCCUGAUCCAGCCAUGCCGCGUGAGUGAAGAAGGCCUUCGGGUUGUAAAGCUCUUUCAGCCGGGAAGAAAACGCAUGGGUUAAUACCCUGUGUGGAUGACGGUACCGGAAUAAGAAGCACCGGCUAACUACGU
rnacentral:rRNA from 1 species